rnacentral:lncRNA from 1 species
UUGGCUCAACUAGGCAAUGCUUCAUUAUGUCUCGACAGAUCCAUCCUUUAUACCUAAUGUAGAAAAUCAACAAGCUUUUGGUAUGGUCCUAAGAAACUAAAACAUCAAGAUAUCUAACAAGAGAGGAGAUCAUGCAAAGACAAUGGUUGAUGUGCCCAGGCCUAAAUAACUAUCUUGUGUAGGUAAGAAUAAAGGUUGAAGCAUAAGAAAAAGAGAGAAAAAAAAAGAAACCUUUGAAAUCUGAUUGAUAAGAAAAUCGCCACAAUCAGAUCACAAAGGGGUAGAACGCCACACUUA